rnacentral:rRNA from 1 species
UACGUAGGUGGCGAGCGUUGUCCGGAUUUACUGGGCGUAAAGGGCGUGCAGGCGGUUUGUUAAGUGCAGGGUGAAAGCUCCCGGCUCAACUGGGAGAGGUCCUUGCAUACUGGCGAACUCGAGGGAGGCAGAGGAAAGUGGAAUUCCCGGUGUAGUGGUGAUAUGCGUAGAUAUCGGGAGGAACACCUGUGGCGAAGGCGGGUCUCUGGGCAGUAACUGACGCUGAGGAGCGAAAGCGUGGGGAGCGAACAGG